AGAGUUUGAUCCUGGCUCAGAACGAACGCUGGCGGCAUGCCUAACACAUGCAAGUCGAACGGGAUCCUGGCUUCGGUCAGGUGAGAGUGGCGGACGGGUGAGUAACGCGUGGGAACCUGCCCAGUGGUGGGGGAUAACUGCGGGAAACUGCAGCUAAUACCGCAUGAGCCCGAGAGGGGAAAGAUUUAUCGCCAUUGGAGGGGCCCGCGUUCGAUUAGGUAGUUGGUGAGGUAACGGCUCACCAAGCCGACGAUCGAUAGCUGGUCUGAGAGGAUGAUCAGCCACACUGGGACUGAGAUACGGCCCAGACUCCUACGGGAGGCAGCAGUGGGGAAUAUUGGACAAUGGGGGCAACCCUGAUCCAGCAAUGCCGCGUGAGUGAUGAAGGCCUUCGGGUUGUAAAGCUCUUUUGCCAGGGACGAUGAUGACGGUACCUGGAGAAUAAGCCCCGGCUAACUUCGUGCCAGCAGCCGCGGUAAUACGAAGGGGGCAAGCGUUGUUCGGAAUUACUGGGCGUAAAGGGCGCGUAGGCGGCUUAUCAAGUCAGGCGUGAAAUUCCCGGGCUCAACCUGGGGGCUGCGCUUGAUACUGAUGAGCUUGAAUGCGGGAGAGGAUAGUGGAAUUCCCAGUGUAGAGGUGAAAUUCGUAGAUAUUGGGAAGAGCACCGGUGGCGAAGGCGGCUAUCUGGCCCGUAAUUGACGCUGAGGCGCGAAAGCGUGGGGAGCAAACAGGAUUAGAUACCCUGGUAGUCCACGCCGUAAACGAUGAUGACUAGCUGUCGGGGCGCUUGGCGUUUCGGUGGCGCAGCUAACGCGUUAAGUCAUCCGCCUGGGGAGUACGGCCGCAAGGUUAAAACUCAAAGGAAUUGACGG
rnacentral:rRNA from 1 species